AUUUUUCCUCCCCUCCCCUCCCCCUCUUAAGUGGAUCUCUAAAACACAGCAUUAAUCUGCCACACACACAUUCUCCAUCCCUUUCACUCUAGUCUUUUGGAUUCAAAUACACACAAACCCUAAAUUUUGAGCAUUAACAGCCUCAACAAGCAAUCCCCUCGCCCCGCUCUCUCUACCUUAAUAAACAAUCGGCAGAAUGGUGGUCGUGGUCGGAUGCUGCCGGUGGUGGAGCGUAGGAGAUUGACGGCGAUAUCGGGGUGAACUGUGGUGUUCGUUGAGGAGGUUAGAGGAGGUGAGGCAUUGGGCGUGGGUGAAGGUGUUUGCUGGCGGCUCUUGGUGGUGUACGGAAAACCCUAGAUAACACAAGAGGUUCCGGUUUCAGAACUUGUUUUCCACCAUCGCACACUAGCCUCGUUGCUAUAGCCGUCGUCCCCUGAACCAACGUCUGAUGUCGUUUUUACGGCCGUCUCUGUGAUUAAGUAUACAAGCUUCUGGAGAACAUUGAUGUAUCAGAAGUAAGAAUGGAACAUUUAAGAUCUGCACUUGAAAAAGUGCAGCUAUCAGAUGCGGAUUUUACCCUUCAAGCUACCGCAAAAGAUGUUUAGUCUCUAAACCGUCCUAAAAAAAGCAACCUCGGUUUCUAGUUGGUUGAAGCUUCAGAGCUCUCACUCGAUCUUGCCAAGAUGACACCUGGCAUACGACAAGCUGCACAAGUUCUGUUUGCUCAAUAUGUAGCUAGAGAUGCAGAAGUGGUAAUUUAAUAGCAUUCUUUCCUUUGGUUAGAAAGGCUAGCUAUCCUCAAGCAUGCUUAAUGCAUGCUCACUUUGCCAAGGUCACAAUGAUUUCAUCACUUGCAGCUGCUUGCUCAUCAGAUGGAGUCCUAGUUCUGUUCAUAAAAGACAGAUACUUUCAUACCACAGCAUAGGAAUAGAUCUUAGCUUAUGUGUACACUCAUAUCCCUUUGCAACUUUUGUUGAUAGCUUUUUUGGAUUAGAAGUUUUUGUCUUUAAUAUUCAAAUUGAAAACUUAUGUAUGAAUUUGGCUUAUUGUUAAAAACUUAUGUAUGAUAUUAUGGAUAUGGUUUUAUUAUUGUUAA